rnacentral:rRNA from 1 species
ACGAACGCUGGCGGCGUGCCUAACACAUGCAAGUCGAACGGGACCAGGGGCAACUCUGGUUCAGUGGCGGACGGGUGCGUAACACGUGAGGAACAUGACCUUCGGCGGGGAGUAGCCGGCCCGAACGGCCGGGUAAGUACCGCGUACGACCAUUGGGGGACGAUCCCCGACGUGGUGAAAGCAGCAAUGCGCCGAUGGAGUGCCUCGCGGCCUAUCAGCUAGUUGGUGAGGUAACGGCUCACCAAGGCGACGACGGGUAGCUGGUCUGGAGGGGGCGACCGGCCACACUGGGACUGAGACACGGCCCAGACUCCUAC